UACAGAGGGUGCGAGCGUUGUCCGGAAUCACUGGGCGUAAAGGGCGCGUAGGCGGUCUCUUAAGCGUGUGGUGAAAGCCCGGGGCUCAACUCCGGGUCGGCCGUGCGAACUGGGGGACUGGAGCUUGUCAGAGGCAGGCGGAAUUCCGGGUGUAGCGGUGGAAUGCGUAGAGAUCCGGAAGAACACCAGUGGCGAAGGCGGCCCGCUGGGCAGUGGCUGACGCUGAGGCGCGACAGCGUGGGGAGCAAACAGG
rnacentral:rRNA from 1 species